rnacentral:lncRNA from 1 species
CACAAUUAAAAAAGUAGGCAAAUAACUUGAAGACAUAUUAUUUUAAAGAAUAUUCACUAGUGGUGUGUGCAUCACCCAGCUUCAACAGUUAUCAAGAUUUUACUAUCCAUAUUAUAUCCAGUUCCCUGCUUAUUUCUAUAUUUUUGUUAGGCUAUUCAUAAAGCAAAUCCAGCCACCAUUCCAUUUCAACUGUAAAAUUUUCAGUCCGUGUGUACCAAUGUGAUAAAUUGUGUCUAUGCUGCUGUGUAUAUGUCCAGAAGUUUAAGCGAUUGCUUUGAACCACUGGCUAGUAUUUUAGAGUGAGUAAACACCUUUAUUUAUUUGUCCCCAGAGAUGAAUACCUAGUCUCCAACUAUCCACUUCCACAGAAUUACUAUGAAGACCAGCCAUGUUCAUUUGCUCUUGGAUUUUAUCUGAGGAUUUUUCUGGGAUACAUACUCAAAAAGAUGAUGACUAGCUCAGGUGAUGUUCAUGGAGACUAAAUGUUAACAGAAGAUGCUAAACCUCUGGCUUUCAUGGUCUACUAGGAAACACAGAUGAAUGAAUAAGAGAAAUGACUCUGGCAACAAAGAUUCUGGUGCUGAGAAACAAGAGUAUGGUAAAAAUUCUUUAUAUGAAUCAAUAAACUAUUUACAAGGACCAGUGUGAAGAUGGGCAUGUGAGUGGUACAGUGUGUUUGCACGCUCAGUUGUAUCCGAGUCUUUGCAAAGCCAUGGACUGUAGCCCGCCAGGCUCCUCUGUCCAUGGGAUUCUUCAGUUCAGUUCAGUCGCUCAGUCGUGUCCGACUCUUUGCAACCCCAUGAAUCGCAGCACGCCAGGCCUCCCUGUCUAUCACCAACUCCUGGAGUUCACCCAGACUCACGUCCAUCGAGUCAGUGAUUUUUUUUUAAUGGCUGGUAAUUCCUCUAUCUGGGUUCUCUGUUCUUUAUCUUAUUAUCUUAUUCCCUCCCUCUGUGGACUUUGUCCAGUGUGUCUUUCUCUUUCUUCUGUGUUUUCAACCUUCUGCUCUCUAUUGAGUUUCUAAGACUCUAUAAUAUAUACUGUAGUCUCUCCUAACUUAAAAAACAACCAACACCCCUCCCUAGCUGUUGCCCUAUUUUGCUCUUCUUCUUUUUCUGAGAUGCUCCUCCUUUCAUUUACUACCAACUCAUAUUCUUCAACAUGCCACAUCCUGGUUUCUGUUCUUCCUCUUCAAUGAAACUGGAAAAGGUCACCAAUCCAAUGGACAGUCACAGUCAGAUAGUUACACAAGUCAUUGUCUUGUGUAACCUCUUUGCAACAUUUUAUGUUACUUCUCACUGAAUCCUUGAAAAUAUUCCUUCUUUGGUUUCUGUGACAUUACUCUAUCCAUAGUUUAUUUAAUAGUUUCAUUCCUCAGUCACUUUUAUGAGAUUUUCUUUUUUGCUUGCUCUCUCCAUAUUGAUAUUACUAUGUGUUCUUUUCUCUCCAUAGACUGUGUGUGUAAGAGGAGAAAAGCAGACGCUAGUCUAAUUCAGUCAUAUAAAUGGAAGAAAUACCUCCAUGCCUAGAUCCAAAAUACAUAUCUGCAAACCAAGCAUUUUUCCUAAAGUCAGGAUCAUAUAUGUCUAGUUGACAACUUUUCCCAGAUGUCCUAUAAACAUACCAAAACAUGACCUCACUGUUAAAUCUAUUUCUUGCUUUAUCAAAUGGCUUCACCAUCCAGCAUGACAUACCUCAGAAAUCUCAGAGUUUUUGCCUUUAAAUCAUUUUGUCUUUUACUCACUAAACUCAUUGGUUGUCAGGUCUUAUAGAUUAUAGCUACCUUUCUUUAAUAUCUCAUAUCUCUUCUCACCUGUCAAUCUUAUCUAGAAUUCUUAUCUAAGAACUCUUCAAUAGGACAUACCUGGUCUUUUAAGAUUGCUUGUGGUAAAAAAAAUGAAAUUUAUAUAUUUAUAGAGUGCUGACAGCUGAAGGAGGGAAGAUAGUCACAGAGGCUUCCUGUCUGUGAAACAAAUGGACGUUGACUUGUACCAUAAGCAUAGUUAAUACAUAUUUGUUACUUU